rnacentral:rRNA from 1 species
CACGACUACAUUAGAUACCCCCGUAGUCCCAGCCCUAAACGAUGCGCGUUAGGUGUAUCGGUGACCACGAGUCACCGAGGUGCCGAAGGGAAACCGUGAAACGUGCCGCCUGGGAAGUACGGUCGCAAGGCUGAAACUUAAAGGAAUUGGCGGGGGAGCACCACAACGGGUGGAGCUUGCGGUUUAAUUGGAUUCAACGCCGGAAAUCUUACCGGGACCGACAGCAACAUGAAGGCCAGGCUGAAGACUUUGCCGGAUUAGCUG